UACGUAGGGUGCAAGCGUUAUCCGGAAUUAUUGGGCGUAAAGAGCUCGUAGGCGGUUUGUUGCGUCUGCUGUGAAAACCCGAGGCUCAACCUCGGGCCUGCAGUGGGUACGGGCAGACUAGAGUGCGGUAGGGGAGAUUGGAAUUCCUGGUGUAGCGGUGGAAUGCGCAGAUAUCAGGAGGAACACCGAUGGCGAAGGCAGAUCUCUGGGCCGUAACUAACGCUGAGGAGCGAAAGCGUGGGGAGCGAACAGG
rnacentral:rRNA from 1 species